rnacentral:sRNA from 1 species
UUUUGUCUGAAAUGUCUGUACUUUAACUCUCCCCCAGGUCUGUGAUCUGCUUUGAGCUAACUUCCGCCUGCAGUGCGAGGUGCGGGCUGAGGCUCGUUCUUUGGCACCUGACCGCCAGGCACCGUGCACUGACAGCCGUUCUAUGGGUUACCUGGCAGCUUGGUAGCAUUGUUUUUUGUCACAAAAGUGGGCACCUGGCCCUCUGCCUGGCUAACAGGUGGAUUGUGUACACCUAGGCUCCACCGAGGACACCGCGUCCAGCUUGUGUGGCGAGGAGGACACGGAGGACGAGGAGCUGGAAGCCGCGGCCAGCCACCUGAACAAAGACUUAUACCGGGAGCUCCUUGGUGGCGCCCCCGGCAGCUCGGAAGCAGCCGGAAGCCCCGAGUGGGGCGGCAGACCUCCGGCCCUGGGGUCCCUGCUGGACCCCCUCCCCACCGCAGCCAGCCUGGGCAUCUCAGACUCCAUCCGCGAAUGCAUCUCCUCUCAGAGCAGCGACCCCAAAGAUGCUUCAGGAGACGGUGAGCUGGACCUCAGUGGCAUUGAUGACCUGGAGAUUGACAGGCGCGACCUUAGCAUGCCCCGGUGUGCAAAGGCUAAAAGCCAGCCCCACUUCCCUGUGCUCGCCCAGUACAUCCUGAAUGAGUCGGAAGCCCGCGUGAAGGCCGAGCUGUGGAUGAGGGAGAACGCCGAGUACCUGCGGGAACAGAGGGAAAAAGAAGCAAGAAUAGCGAAAGAGAAGGAGCUCGGCAUCUACAAGGAACACAAG